rnacentral:rRNA from 1 species
AUUGAACGCUGGCGGCAGGCUUAACACAUGCAAGUCGAGCGGGGUGAGGUGCUUCGGUACUGAUCCCAGCGGCGGACGGGUGAGUAAUGCUUAGGAAUCUGCCAUUUAGUGGGGGACAACAUUCCGAAAGGAAUGCUAAUACCGCAUACGUCCUACGGGAGAAAGCAGGGGAUCUUCGGACCUUGCGCUAAAUGAUGAGCCUAAGUCGGAUUAGCUAGUUGGUGGGGUAAAGGCCUACCAAGGCGACGAUCUGUAGCGGGUCUGAGAGGAUGAUCCGCCACACUGGGACUGAGACACGGCCCAGACUUCUACGGGAGGCAGCAGUGGGGAAUAUUGGACAAUGGGCGGAAGCCUGAUCCAGCCAUGCAGCGUGUGUGAAGAAGGCCUUUUGGUUGUAAAGCACUUUAAGCGAGGAGGAGGCUACCUGGAUUAAUACUCUAGGAUAGUGGACGUUACUCGCAGAAUAAGCACCGGCUAACUCUGUGCCAGCCGCCGCGGUAAUAC